GCGUUUUCCAAAGCAAAUGAUCUUCAUUCAAAAUUAAAAUCAAACCACAAGAUGAUUAAACAGUUAAAAGGAAAAAAUAGAUGCUAUAAAAUUUCUGCAGAGGAUGUCCAACAUCGAAUUUCUUCACAACUGACCCAUAUUACAAUGAUUUCCUAGAUGCCACAUUAAUUAUCUUCUGCUCCCAUGAUUGAAACAGAAAUACAACUACAAAUCAUCAGAAAUUGACAUGUAAAAAAGCCUGUAUAAGAAAAGAAAGUUCUCCAUUGAAGAACUUCCACCAGCACCUAGCCAGAUUGAAAGAAAAAAGUCUUCUCUACUAUUCUGUUCUCUAAACAAAACUACAAAUACAUACACAUAUAUCUUGCUUCAGGGUUCCAGCUUCAAGGAAACAACACGUGACUGUCUGUUGCGUUUUGCUACCUUAACAAAGACUACAGAAAGGCAGGAUGGAGCCCACCAUGGCCUACGAACUUUUUGCUCUCCUUUUAGGCAAGCCACUUUUAUUCGUCUGAGCUCCUUACACAGCGUGAUGAAGUCUCCCCAUUUCAUGUGGCAUCGCCUUAUAAACCGUAAAAUCUGUUCAGUUGUGAACAUGGACAUGCCCUCCAGAUAUUCUCCAUUGACACCAUUUUCUUUGAAAAUCUGGCGGUAGCCACCCAGAUUUAUUUCUUCCAACCAUAAACCGACAUCCUAGCGAAAUUAAAAGAAGGCAAACAGAGGACUAAUGUGAGCCCAUACAGUGGCACAGAGCACGCAAGAUUAUUUAGGUAUAUUAGUAAACAUUUCUGUCAAGGUAAUAAAAUGACAUAACUUGCUGGUUCUCAAUAACAACAACAGACAAAAUGUUUUCAGAAGUCUAAAAGAACAUGGUUCUCACGCAAUUCUUAGGUCUACCCUGAUCAUCAAUCAUGACUUUAUGCAAUGAGUUGGCCAAUGAAUAACAAUCAUGCUAUUUUACAUUCUUCAUGAUAAAAUGCUCUUUUGAGCAGCAUUUAAUUAGCUAGCCUAUGUUAACCUAUUGAUGCAGAUUCAUCUCAUUUCUAUGCCAUGCUACCAUUUGGAAAAAUAAAAUAAAAUUGAUGCUUCUUGUAAACUAUAUAUAAAUUUGUCAGAUCUAAGGAUAAUCUCUGCAAAGAAAUACUCGUCAUAAUAUACUAUCAUGUUAACAUAGACCACAAAUUGAUCAACGUAAUCCUUCCACCAUACUGAUUGACCAGCUCAGUACAUCAACUGUUGCAGUUAAUCUUGUCUAGCACUAUGCCACAGUAUUCCCCACCGGGAACCUCCUUCAAGCUACCAUUACAUGCUGCAAAAUCCCACAUUUCUAAUGGACAUGAACUAUACAAUUCUCUAACAUAACAUAUAAAUUUUAACUGGAACACAAAAUAGUAGAAGCAUAUUCUGAUGAUAAUUUGUGAAUCCUCUUUUGCUGAGUCAAGCUUCAAAACUGUAGACAAACCAAUAAAUACAACAUAAAGCUAUUACUGUUUAUCAAAUAUCCUUAUAGCCACAGUAUAUUACUUCUUCUAUACUAUUCUCAUGCAUGUAUCUUUUUGUAACAAACUUUGCUGUUAAGUAGCACUCCUUUGUCAUGUAUGAUGCAGGAAAUUAAGUGAACUGUCCAAAACUUGUGUAUUUCAAACAACAAACUCAUAAUCAGGAGUUCAGGACAUCAUUGCUACCAGUAAUGCUACAUGCCUGAGCCCACAGUAGAGAAGAAGUACAAGAUAAAACUUCCACAUGAACAAAUAAAAGAUAUGACUGAUUGAUGCAUAACAAUUACACAAACACAAACACAAUGGUUCAGAAAAAACCCAUUUUUUUGAUACUUUUGAUUUACAAGAAUGAAACACUCAGCACACAAAAAGGUUCAGAAAGCUAAUAAAAACAGACACUCUAGAAGCAAGAAUCUCAGUGCUUAGUCCAAAUAACGGAACUGACUGCAUAACAAGUUGACAACUAAGAAACAUCAACGACAUAUAUGGAUCAAAACAAAAUGAAUAAAUAAUCCAAUGUUGCUCUGGUGCACAUGCAAAUGAUGACUAAAAACCUAAAACCAUAUGCUGCCUCGCCUCACCACAGAAUCCUAAAGAACCACUUAUACAACUUAAGAGAGCCGCAGAAAAAUGCCUCAAAACUCCUCACUGGUGCUCAGUGAAAUAUGAUCAAAUUAACUUUGACUUAUUUAACUCAUUCAGUUGGUUUUGUACUGCAAAACUAAUGAAAUGCCCCCGCUCCAAACUUGUUCCAGUUGACUUUGCCAUUAAGAAGAAGAGGGGGAAAAAAAACAAUUGAAAUUUGAGAAAGCAAAUAAAGCAAUAAUAACCCACCAAAACUGG
rnacentral:misc_RNA from 1 species